rnacentral:rRNA from 1 species
AUGGCUUCAUCCGGUUCCAUGACGAGGCCGUCGUGUGCUGAUCGUGAAGACAUGCAGAACAAGUGGGAGAAUGCCAAGCUGGACGAGGUGACGGAAAAAGAUAUGAAAACUCCAUCAUGUUGGUGUGGAGAUGUUUGCAAGGUGAAGGUGUCCACCGACCGCAAGAAGUCAUGGACGGAAGGAAGAAGAUUCUUUGUGUGUCCCAACUAUGCACAUGAUCGGAGGCUUCCAAUAAACGCCUAUGACGUACCACCGGUAUGGUCAAAGAGUAAUCUCAAAUUUUGUCCAACUUCAACUCAUAAUCCUAACAACAAAAAAAUUUAUCCUAUGCAGUCACCGCCUCCUCUUUGCAAGUACUUCACAUGGAUGAUCAAGAUGUUCCAGAGGAUGUCAAAAAGGACCAAUAUCAAGAUUGUCUUAAGAGGCAACGGCGGUUUGAAGAAGCAUUUCAGAGGGGCUUGGAUGAAGAGCGUCGUCAGAAGGAGAAGAUGGAACAAAAGAAACGCGAGGAGGAGAGGGCACGCAAAGAGAAGGAUGCUCGUGCAGAAGAGAGGGCAAGAAAGCUUGCAAGGGCUUGUGAUGCACAAGAGGAGGAUGAGACACGUUACAAGAAGGGCAAAGGGCCCAUGUUUCCUUAGUGAUCUUUAG